AAAUUACCACAAACUGGGUUACUUAAAAAGACAAAGUUUAUUUUCUCACAGAUUUGAAGGUCAGAAGUCUGAAAUCAAAGUGGGAGCCAUCCUCCCUCCCCAAGGCCCUAGCUCCUAGUGACUCCUGGCAAUCCUUGGUGUUUCUUGGUUUAUUCUGCAUCACUCCAAUCUCUGCUUCCAUCUAACCAUGGCAUUCUUUCCUGUAUCUCUGUUUCCUCUGUGCCUGGGUAUCUCUGUGCCCAAAUCUCCCUGUCCUUUCUUUGAUAAGGGUUCCUAUCAUUGGGUUUCAUGCCCACCCUAAAACCAGGAUGAUUUUAUCUAAAAAUUUUUAAUAAAUUACUACACCUGCACAGAUCCAAUUUCCAAAUAAAGUAACAUACUGGGAGGACAAUAUUCAACCCGCUACUAUGAUCAUGAUGAUGUCACAAUCUUGCAUUAUUUCAUGCCUUAAAAGUUGUCAGACAGAUCAGUUGUAGAGGGGAAGACCUACUGGGGUGAUUGGCCAAAAAUGUGGAGACCUCAGGAUAUGGCACAGGAAGUGAUCUUGGUCCUUGCAUGACAUGGCAGACGGACCUGCAGCAGCCUCAUAGCCUUGCAUGGCUUACAGCAUCCCCUGGCUCUGAUAUGCAUGGGAACAGAAUCAGCAAGUUCUACCCUAAUAUCAAAACUGAAUCACCAGCUACUAGACUAGACCACAGAACAGGUGCUUUUCUGUGUGAUUUGCAGGAAAUUCUCCCACCAGAGACCCGUAUUAUGCCUGGCAUACAGGAGGCAUUCAGAAAAUUUGAUGACUAGAAGUGUGUGUCCAUCUCAAUGACACAGGCUUCAGGCUUCAGCCCUUUCCACAUGCUGAACUUCAUCGGAGUCCCAUGUGUUGAGAGCCUUCUGGAAGAGACCCAACAAUUACAGAGGAGUGCACCAUACAGACUUGGCCUGAAUGUAAUUUCAGCCUGAACUUUCUGGGGAUUGUUAUGGGGUCCCAUCCUGCAGUCUUUCAACAUGAGAAACUCUCCUGGGCAUGGAAGGUUUGGAAAAUCUUCAGGAUUGAAGAGUAUUGCCUCUAGGAUUGAACAUCACGGAGGACCCUGUAACCAGAAUGGACCUUCAGUCUCAUUUCAUGAAGCUGCUGCUUUUCUGUGUCUGUGUGGCCUUCUACUUGAAAUAAAUAAGCAAAGGAUAUAGUUUUAAGUGCA
rnacentral:lncRNA from 1 species